rnacentral:rRNA from 1 species
UACGUAGGCAGCAAGCGUUGUUCGGAGUUACUGGGCGUAAAGGGUGCGUAGGCGGUUGUUUAAGUUUGGUGUGAAAUCUCCCGGCUCAACUGGGAGGUGCGCCGAAUACUGAAUGACUAGAGUGCGGGAGAGGAGAGUGGAAUUCCUGGUGUAGCGGUGAAAUGCGUAGAUAUCAGGAGGAACACCGGUGGUGUAGACGGCUCUCUGGACCGUAACUGACGCUGAGACACGAAAGCGUGGGUAGCAAACAGG